rnacentral:tRNA from 1 species
GCGGCCGUAGUCUAGGAAACUGGACAAUGGUUAGGAUUCUGGCUUCCCAAGCCAGUAACCCGGGUUCAAAUCCCGGCGGCCGCA